AACGAACGCUGGCGGCAUGCCUAACACAUGCAAGUCGAACGAGACCUUCGGGUCUAGUGGCGCACGGGUGCGUAACGCGCGGGAACCUGCCCUUAGGUUCGGAAUAACUCCCCGAAAGGGGUGCUAAUACCGGAUAAUGUCUUCGGACCAAAGAUUUAUCGCCUUUGGAUGGGCCCGCGUUGGAUUAGCUAGUUGGUAGGGUAAAAGCCUACCAAGGCGACGAUCCAUAGCUGGUCUGAGAGGAUGAUCAGCCACACUGGGACUGAGACACGGCCCAGACUCCUACGGGAGGCAGCAGUGGGGAAUAUUGGACAAUGGGCGAAAGCCUGAUCCAGCAAUGCCGCGUGAGUGAUGAAGGCCUUAGGGUCGUAAAGCUCUUUUACCCGGGAUGAUAAUGACAGUACCGGGAGAAUAAGCUCCGGCUAACUCCGUG
rnacentral:rRNA from 1 species